rnacentral:rRNA from 1 species
UACAGAGGUCUCAAGCGUUUGUUCGGAUUCAUUGGGCGUAAAGGGUGCGUAGGCGGCGCGGUAAGUCGGGUGUGAAAUCUCGGGGCUUAACUCCGAAACUGCAUUCGAUACUGCCGUGCUUGAGGACUGGAGAGGAGACUGGAAAUUUACGGUGUAGCGGUGAAAAUGCGUAGAUAUCGUAAGGAAGACCAGUGGCGAAGGCGGGUCUCUGGACAGUUCCUGACGCUGAGGCAACGAAGGCCCAGGGGGAGCAAAACGGG